CGGGGUAUGGCGCAGUCCGGCUAGCGUACCUGCUUUGGGAGCAGGGGGUCGCAGGUUCGAAUCCUGCUACCCCGACAA
rnacentral:tRNA from 2 species